GACGAACGCUGGCGGCGUGCUUAACACAUGCAAGUCGAACGGAAAGGCCCUGCUUGCAGGGUACUCGAGUGGUGAACGGGUGAGUAACACGUGGGUGAUCUGCCCUGCACUUCGGGAUAAGCUUGGGAAACUGGGUCUAAUACCGGAUAGGAGCCAUCUUUAGUGUGGUGGUUGGAAAGUUUUUUCGGUGUAGGAUGAGCUCGCGGCCUAUCAGCUUGUUGGUGGGGUAAUGGCCUACCAAGGCGGCGACGGGUAGCCGGCCUGAGAGGGUGUACGGCCACAUUGGGACUGAGAUACGGCCCAGACUCCUACGGGAGGCAGCAGUGGGGAAUAUUGCACAAUGGGCGCAAGCCUGAUGCAGCGACGCCGCGUGGGGGAUGAAGGCCUUCGGGUUGUAAACUCCUUUCGCUAGGGACGAAGCUUUUUUGUGACGGUACCUAGAUAAGAAGCACCGGCUAACUACGUG
rnacentral:rRNA from 1 species